AUGAACGCUAGCGACAGGCCUAACACAUGCAAGUCGAGGGGCAGCACAAGGAGCAAUCUGAGGUGGCGACCGGCGCACGGGUGAGUAACACGUAUGCAACCUGCCUGUAAGCGGGGAAUAACCCGUUGAAAGACGGACUAAUACCGCAUAAUACUAAAUUACUGCAUGGUAAUUUAUUUAAACAUUUAUGGCUUACAGAUGGGCAUGCGCAUGAUUAGCUAGUUGGAGAGGUAACGGCUCCCCAAGGCAACGAUCAUUAGGGGUUCUGAGAGGAAGGUCCCCCCACACUGGUACUGAGACACGGACCAGACUCCUACGGGAGGCAGCAGUGAGGAAUAUUGGUCAAUGGACGAGAGUCUGAACCAGCCAAGUCGCGUGCAGGAAGAAUUGUCCUAUGGAUUGUAAACUGCUUUUGCAGGGGAAUAAAGUGCAUCACGUGUGAUGUUUUGUAUGUACUCUGCGUAUAAGGAUCGGCUAACUCCGUGCCAGCCGCCGC
rnacentral:rRNA from 1 species